rnacentral:rRNA from 1 species
GAUGAACGCUGGCGGCGUGCCUAAUACAUGCAAGUCGAGCGAACAGACGAGGAGCUUGCUCCUCUGACGUUAGCGGCGGACGGGUGAGUAACACGUGGAUAACCUACCUAUAAGACUGGGAUAACUUCGGGAAACCGGAGCUAAUACCGGAUAAUAUAUUGAACCGCAUGGUUGAAUAGUGAAAGACGGUUUUGCUGUCACUUAUAGAUGGAUCCGCGCCGCAUUAGCUAGUUGGUAAGGUAACAGCUUACCAAGGCAACGAUGCGUAGCCGACCUGAGAGGGUGAUCGGCCACACUGGAACUGAGACACGGUCCAGACUCCUACGGGAGGCAGCAGUAGGGAAUCUUCCGCAAUGGGCGAAAGCCUGACGGAGCAACGCCGCGUGAGUGAUGAAGGUCUUCGGAUCGUAAAACUCUGUUAUUAGGGAAGAACAAAUGUGUAAGUAACUAUGCACGUCUUGACGGUACCUAAUCAGAAAGCCACGGCUAACUACGUG